CCAAAAUUGUGCGUCAAGUCAAUGUAUGGGUUCAGCCCCCUGCUUUCAAAUUAAGUAGGGCUACAUCUACAAUGCAGCAGCAACACGUGAUGAUGAAUGAACAGCAUUUGUUUUUGGACACGCAAAAAAUGCUGUCUGCAUGCAAACUGUAUGCACAACACCGAAUCAGUUUGAGGAAUUUUGAAAGACGGCUGAAGCAGGAUAUGCCCAAUAGGAUGUGGAUGGAGAGUAGCAUGAAUGAGGUGGAAGGCCUGAUACCCAAAAGAAUGAACACCAAGUCGGGACUCGGGUAUUUUCAACCAACAUCA